ACUCCUACGGGAGGCAGCAGUAGGGAAUCUUCCACAAUGGGCGCAAGCCUGAUGGAGCAACACCGCGUGAGUGAAGAAGGGUUUCGGCUCGUAAAGCUCUGUUGUUAAAGAAGAACACGUAUGAGAGUAACUGUUCAUACGUUGACGGUAUUUAACCAGAAAGUCACGGCUAACUACGUGCCAGCAGCCGCGGUAAUACGUAGGUGGCAAGCGUUAUCCGGAUUUAUUGGGCGUAAAGAGAGUGCAGGCGGUUUUCUAAGUCUGAUGUGAAAGCCUUCGGCUUAACCGGAGAAGUGCAUCGGAAACUGGAUAACUUGAGUGCAGAAGAGGGUAGUGGAACUCCAUGUGUAGCGGUGGAAUGCGUAGAUAUAUGGAGGAACACCAGUGGCGAAGGCGGCUACCUGGUCUGCAACUGACGCUGAGACUCGAAAGCAUGGGUAGCGAACAGGAUUAGAUACCCUGGUAGGAUAGCG
rnacentral:rRNA from 1 species